AACGAACGCUGGCGGCAUGCCUAACACAUGCAAGUCGAACGAGACCUUCGGGUCUAGUGGCGCACGGGUGCGUAACGCGUGGGAACCUGCCCUUAGGUUCGGAAUAACUCCUCGAAAGGGGUGCUAAUACCGGAUAAUGUCUUCGGACCAAAGAUUUAUCGCCUUUGGAUGGGCCCGCGUUGGAUUAGCUAGUUGGUAGGGUAAAAGCCUACCAAGGCGACGAUCCAUAGCUGGUCUGAGAGGAUGAUCAGCCACACUGGGACUGAGACACGGCCCAGACUCCUACGGGAGGCAGCAGUGGGGAAUAUUGGACAAUGGGCGAAAGCCUGAUCCAGCAAUGCCGCGUGAGUGAUGAAGGCCUUAGGGUUGUAAAGCUCUUUUACCCGGGAUGAUAAUGACAGUACCGGGAGAAUAAGCUCCGGCUAAUUCCGUG
rnacentral:rRNA from 1 species